CAGCCGCCGCGGUAAUACGAAGGGUGCAAGCGUUAAUCGGAAUUACUGGGCGUAAAGCGUGCGUAGGCGGUUUGUUAAGUCUGCUGUGAAAUCCCCGGGCUCAACCUGGGAAUGGCAGUGGAUACUGGCAAGCUAGAGUGUGUCAGAGGAUGGUGGAAUUCCCGGUGUAGCGGUGAAAUGCGUAGAGAUCGGGAGGAACAUCAGUGGCGAAGGCGGCCAUCUGGGACAACACUGACGCUGAGGCACGAAAGCGUGUGGAGCAAACAGGAUUAGAUACCCCCGUAGUCCCUGUCUCUUAUAC
rnacentral:rRNA from 1 species